ensembl:lncRNA
UGGGAAUGGGGAGCGGGGACCCCAGUCCCACUGGGAGCAGGGAGCAGGGCACAAAUCCCACUGGGAGCGGGGCACAAAUCCCACUGGGAGCAGAGAGCAGGGUGGGACAGCUCCAAAUCCCACUGGGAGCAGAGAGCGGGGUGGGACAGCUCCAAAUCCCACUGGGAGCAAGGACCCAAAUCCCACUGGGAAUGGGGAGCGGGAACCCAAAUCCCACUGGGAGCGAGGACCCAAAUCCCACUGGGAAUGGGGAGUGGGACCCAAAUCCCACUGGGAGCAGAGAGCGGGGUGGAACAGCUCCAAAUCCCACUGGGAGUGGGGCAUGGGGACACAAAUCCCACGGGGAUGGGGAGUGGGAACCCAAAUCCCACUGGGAGCAGGGAGUGGGAACCCAAAUCCCACUGGGAGUGGGGUGGGAUAGCUUCAAAUCCCACUGGGAGCAGAGAAAGGGGACGCAAACACUACUGGGAACAGGAAAUGGGGACCGAAAUCCCACUGGGAUUGGGGAAUGGGGACCCAAAUGCCACUGGGAGCAGGGAGUGGGGUGGAACAGCUCAAAAUCCUACUGGGAACAGGGAAUGGGAACCCAAGCCCCACUGGGAUCAGGGAGUGGGGACCCCAAAUCCCACUGGGAUCAGGGAGUGGGAACCCCAAACCCCAGUGGGACCAGGACCCCUGAGGUUUCCUGGCUGCUUCCAGCAGGUCCCGUGGGACACAGAGGGGACACUGGGUGACCUUGGGGUGGCCGGGGCUGGGCAGGGGGUGUUGGGGGUCUGUCCCCACCCUGUCCCUGGUGUCCCCACGCUGUCCCCACCGUGCCACGUCCCCAGGUACCUGCGGCAGAUCUCGGAGCUGACCUUCUCGGAGCCGGCGCAGCUGCAGCAGCUGGAGCAGCUCCGGGGUUACAACCUGGAGCAGGAGAUGAGGAGCCUCAGGGACCUGCUGGAGGCCACCCCGUCCCCGGUGGUCUUCUGCCACAACGACGUGCAGGAGGGUGAGUGCCACCCCCUGUCCCCAAGCCCCCAGACCCCCCAGACCCCCCAUGUCCCCCAACGGCGCUGCCGACCCCGCAGGGAACAUCCUGCUGCUGGCGGGGCGCGAGGGCUCCUCGGACAGCCUCAUGCUCAUCGACUUCGAGUACAGCAGCUACAACUACCGGUGGGCUCGGGCUCCCGGGGGUUUGGGGGGUCCCCGGGGGGUUUGGGGGGUCCCCGGGGGGGUUUGGGGGUCGAUGGGGG